AGACAUUCCUUUCCUCUUCCCUUUCUUCGCACCUUUUCUCUUCGCAGAUUCUUCCUUCUCCGCAGUAAGCACCGCAGCAAGCAGGGAGGAUCUCGUCUUCCCUCUCCACGGCGAGUAGGGAGGAUCUCGUCUUCCCUCUCCACAGCGAGUAGGGAGGAUCUCUUCUUCUCUCUCUGGUUUCAUUUCUCUCCGCAAGUUGAUCCCCAAACCCUAGCCAAAAUAGCGAUCUCCAAUUGAAGAUCCAAGCGUAAUUCUGCGAUGCGACACUUCUUCCUCCACAUCAUUGGCAUCUUUACCGUGGUAUUAUUUAUCCUCCUCCCUUCCACCGCCACAGUGCCGGUGGUGGCCGAAACGGAGUAGAAUUUGUCAUCAUCGUCAUCUUCGGCCUCAGAUCUAUACUUACAUGGCCUCCAUUUUUCGCGAUCGGUGUUGACCCUCUGAUCACACGCCUUAAACACGUGAGUGGAGCUGAUACAAAAGUAGGUGGAGACCACGCCGCCAUUGCCUCUGACUACACCUCGUACGCGCACAUCUCAAUCUAGAGAGCUUGAAGCAGAUGCGGGUCUUCAUUGAGUUAGCUCACAACCUCUCCCUUCUCCUUGAUGUCUCCUUUCUUUGCCUGAACCAUUUAAGCGAGAUCUCACAAUAUUGUGGAAAAUUGAUAUGGAUGGGAAGGUGAAUGGAGCAGUUGAGAUUUGCUUGGGGUCUUUUCAUCGUUAUGCAAAUAUAUGAAUUUCUCACAAACCUUUAUCAAGGAGAAGUUUGACCUUCAUCCGUGGAAGAAGGAAAAGUGCACUAAACAUUGUCAUUAUUGGCAAAAUCUUAGAGGAAAGAUUGAGAUCAAGUGUAUCGAGAACAUCACAAGUCGUCAUGUUACCUUUUGCAAGAGAACGAAUGGGCUGCUCAAGAAAGCCUAUGAAUUGUCUGUGCUCUGACGUCGCACUAAUCGGCUUCUCCGCCCACGGCCGCUUGUAUGAGUACUCCAAUAACAGGUGACAUGUACUUGGAUUUUUAUGAAUCAAUAUAAUGGUUGAAGAUGAUCCAUCUAAUCGAGUUUUUAUUUUACAAGAAUUUGUUAGUAUUACAAUUUAAUAUUUUGAGUGUAUUUGUAGGUUGUUUUGGAGGUAAAAGAUUUAUCAUUAGUAUUGCAUUUGUAAAUUUGACUCAAAUGAGUAUUGGAUGAAUAAAAAUAUCUAUGAGUCCUUUAAA